CGCUGGCGGCAUGCCUAACACAUGCAAGUCGAACGGAGUAAUGACUUCGGUUAUUACUUAGUGGCGAACGGGUGAGUAACACGUGAAUAAUCUGCCCUGUACGAUGGGAUAACAGCUGGAAACGGCUGCUAAUACCGUAUAUGACCACGCCGAGGCAUCUCGGAGGGGUGAAAGCGCUUAAGCGGUACAGGAUGAGUUCGCGUCCAAUUAGCUAGUUGGUGAGGUAACGGCCCACCAAGGCGACGAUUGGUAGCCGACCUGAGAGGGUGAUCGGCCACACUGGAACUGAGACACGGUCCAGACUCCUACGGGAGGCAGCAGUGGGGAAUAUUGGGCAAUGGAGGAAACUCUUUAACCCCCAGCAAUGCCGCGUGAGUGAUGAAGGUCUUCGGAUUGUAAAGCUCUUUGAUUGGGGACGAAUAAAUGACGGUACCCAAGGAACAAGCCCCGGCUAACUAUGUGCCAGCCGCUGC
rnacentral:rRNA from 1 species